GUCCCUGUAGCUUACAACAAAGCAUGGCACUGAAGAUGCCAAGACGGCUCGACAUCCACCCCAGGGACA
rnacentral:tRNA from 1 species